UAGGGAAUCUUCGGCAAUGGACGAAAGUCUGACCGAGCAACGCCGCGUGAGUGAAGAAGGUUUUCGGAUCGUAAAACUCUGUUGUUAGAGAAGAACAAGGACGUUAGUAACUGAACGUCCCCUGACGGUAUCUAACCAGAAAGCCACGGCUAACUACGUGCCAGCAGCCGCGGUAAUACGUAGGUGGCAAGCGUUGUCCGGAUUUAUUGGGAGUAAAGCGAGCGCAGGCGGUUUCUUUAGACUGAUGUGAAAGCCCCCGGCUCAACCGGGGAGGGUAAUUGGAAUGUGGGAGACUGGAGGGCAGAAGAGGAGAGUGGAAUUCCAGGUGUAGCGGUGAAAUGCGAGAAUAUAUGGAGGAAAACCAGUGGCGAAGGCGGCUGGCUGGUCUGUAACUGACGCUGAGGCAAGAAGGCGUGGGGAGCAAACAGG
rnacentral:rRNA from 1 species